GUGGCCAUGGUGAAGCGGUAUCACAGCAGAUUGUGGCUCUGCUAUCACGGGUUCGACCCCCGUUGGCCACCCCA
rnacentral:tRNA from 1 species